rnacentral:rRNA from 1 species
GACGAACGCUGGCGGCGUGCUUAACACAUGCAAGUCGAACGGUGAAGCGCCUUCCUUUUUGGUGGGUGUGGAUGAGUGGCGAACGGGUGAGUAACACGUGAGUAACCUGCCCCCUUCUUCUGGAUAACCGCAUGAAAGUGUGGCUAAUACGGGAUAUUCUGGGUCUGUCGCAUGAUGGGUCUGGGAAAGAUAUUGUUUCGGUGGGGGAUGGGCUCGCGGCCUAUCAGCUUGUUGGUGGGGUGAUGGCCUACCAAGGCGGUGACGGGUAGCCGGCCUGAGAGGGUGGACGGUCACAAUGGGACUGAGACACGGCCCAGACUCCUACGGGAGGCAGCAGUGGAGAAUAUUGCACAAUGGGCGCAAGCCUGAUGCAGCGACGCCGCGUGAGGGAUGGAGGCCUUCGGGUUGUGAACCUCUUUCGCCAGUGAAGCAGGCCUGCCUCGUUUGUGGGUGGGUUGACGGUAGCUGGAUAAGAUGCGCCGGCUAACUACGUG